rfam:Triticum aestivum genome assembly, contig: Triticum_aestivum_CS42_TGACv1_scaffold_486163_6AS
UUUCUACUCCCUCCGUCCAAAAAUACUUGUCAUCAAAAUGGAUAAAAAGAGAUGUAUCUAAAACUAAAAUACGUCUAGAUACAUUUCCUUUUAUCCAUUUUGAUGACAAGUAUUUCUGGACGGAGGGAGUAUUUG